rnacentral:lncRNA from 1 species
UUUCCUCGGCCAGACCUGCUCGCCUUCUCAUCCUGCUUGGCCUUCAACAUGCGCUCGGCAAUAGUUUCCAUUUCGUCUGCAAACAAGUGACGAGCAAGUUAGUAAAAGAGGAAGAAUACAUACAAAAAUAACAGAAAUUUUUCUAAGUUAAAAAGAAAGGAAACAAUACCCAAACACAAUUUGACCUCCCCGGCAUUUCUGCACUUGAGG